UUUAAAGUCUAAUCUGCCCAAUGAAGUUUUAAAUGGCCGCGGUAUUUUGACCGUGCAAAGGUAGCAUAAUAAUUAGUUUUUUAAUUGGAAGCUGGAAUGAAUGAUUGAACGAGAAAAUAGCUGUCUCAAUUUAAUUUAAUUAGAAUUUUAUUUUUAAGUAAAAAAGCUUAAAUUUUUUUAAAAGACGAGAAGACCCUAUAGAGUUUAAUAGUUUAUUAUUAAUUAGUUUUUUAGUAUUUUUAUAUUAAUUUUAAUUAGAUUAUUUUGUUGGGGUGAUAGAAAAAUUAAAGUAACUUUUUUUUAUUUAUUUCAUUAAUUUAUGAUUAAUUGAUCCAUUAUUUAUGAUUAUAAGAUUAAAUUACCUUAGGGAUAACAGCGUAAUUUUUUUUAAGAGUUCUUAUUGAAAGGAAAGAUUGCGACCUCGAUGUUGGAUUAAAAUAAAUAUUUGGUGUAGUAGCUAUAUAAUUAGGUCUGUUCGACCUUUAAAAUUUUACA
rnacentral:rRNA from 1 species